rnacentral:rRNA from 1 species
UACGUAGGGGCCGAGCGUUGUCCGGAGUUAUUGGGCGUAAAGCGCGCGCAGGCGGCUUCGCGCGCCCCGACGUGAAAGCCCCCGGCUUAACCGGGGAGAGUCGUUGGGGACGGCGGGGCUUGAGGGCGGGAGAGGUCGGUGGAAUUCCCGGUGUAGUGGUGAAAUGCGUAGAGAUCGGGAGGAACACCUGUGGCGAAGGCGGCCGACUGGGCCGACCCUGACGCUGAGGCGCGAAGGCGUGGGGAGCGAACGGGG